UACGAAGGGGGCUAGCGUUGUUCGGAUUUACUGGGCGUAAAGCGCACGUAGGCGGAUCGUUAAGUCGGGGGUGAAAUCCUGGAGCUCAACUCCAGAACUGCCUUCGAUACUGGCGAUCUCGAGUCCGGAAGAGGUGAGUGGAACUCCUAGUGUAGAGGUGGAAUUCGUAGAUAUUCGCAAGAACCCCAGUGGCGCAGGCGGCUCACUGGCCCGGUACUGACGCUGAGGUGCGAAAGCGUGGGGAGCAAACAGG
rnacentral:rRNA from 1 species